CUAAAUUUCCUUUCUUCCUUAUCUUCUUCUCUCUUUUUCUCUAUUCUCACUAGUAACAAGAGUAAUCCUCUUGUUACAAUGGUUUCAGAGCCGCCUGGUAUUCAACCUUCAGCUGCCAUGACUUUUAAACCAGAGAUUCAAACUUUGCAAACAGAGAUGCGAGGAUACGUGUGCAACUUUCCUCAUUUGUGGAACAUGCAAGCCAAAUGUUCGAAUCUAUAGAAACCAACCAGAUUCAGUUUCAAACUCAACUCGACGAUGUUAAGGACAUAAAUCGAAAGCUCGAUUUCAUUAUCUCGAGCAUGGGUUUGUCGUAACGAGAUGACUCUAGGCCGGUGACGCCAUCUCCGGCGACCAAAAUCACAGACCAACAGCUCACACCGGUGACUUCAGACUCUGCUCAACCCGCUACGAUGGUCACUUCUUACUCAAUUCAAGCAAUAACAGAAACUGGAGGAGUUUCAGGGGAAGGAUGACUUGGCAAAGGUUUUGUACUGAAGUUUGCAGGAGAUUUGGUACAGUAGACCACAAGAUAUUAUGGAUGAGUUUAACAAAAUUAUACGGAUUGCGAGUGUGGACCAAUAUCAAGAAAGGCCUGAAGAGCUGACAAGAUAUAUGACUAUUAUAAACCCUCUUUUGAAUGAAACUCACUUCGUUUCCAGUUUUAUUUGUGGCCUUAAACCUGAUCUUAAACCAUUAGUCAAGCUGGCCAAUCCUGUGACUAUUACGGAUGCGUAUGAGAUUGCAAAGCUAUAUGAGGAGUCAUUUUCAGCUCUCACUGCACUUAUUCCCGCUAGAAAUAACCAAAACCUUCCCUACCCUAAACCAUUAGCCAUUACUUCUACCCAAACACUUUUGAGGCACACAGAGCUCAGGGUCUUUGUUAUAAGUGUUGCAAGAAGUAUGAUCCUGGACACCAAUGCAAGGCUAAAACUCUACAUGCCAUGGAAGGGGUCACAGCUGAAGAGGAACCAGAAAUAGAGGAAUUUGUGGAUGGUCUUGAGACUUUGGAGGAACAAGCGGAGGAGCAAGCUAAGGUCUCCCUCAAUGUGGUGAUGGGGUUAAGUUCUGCUGAAGGAGCCAUUUCAACUAUCAAAAUAUUGAGAUAUGCAAAAAAGAUCCCAUUGACCAUAUUGAUAGACAUUGGCUCUAUACACUUUUUUAUUGAUCCACAUAUAGUGAAACUGUUAAAAUUGCCUGUGCAACCUAUGGCCAUUCCAUUAAGAAUGGUAGUGGCUAAUGGCCAAGUCAUGAGAUGUGAUCAGGAAAGCCCUUUGUUCAAUUGGAAAAUGCAGAAUGAAUUUUUACUUUUAAAUUAGGUUACUCAAGGUUAGAGGAUGUGACAUAGUUUUGGGAAUGGACUAAAUUGAUGUAGUAGCUCCACUGGUCUUUCAUACUAGACCUCACUGCCUGAGCUUCAUGAAAGAUGGCAAGAUGGUGACCCUAAUUGGAGUUAAUCCUAAACCUAAGGUGAUCCCAAUUGAUACUGAAGCCUUAAGAAGGAUGUUGCAUUGUGGUACCUGCGAGGUGAUGGCUGAAUUAUCUCUAACAGCUGCUUGUCCUAGAGUAAAAGGUGAGAAAGAGAUGAACCCUACAUUGAAAAGGUUACUGUUAGCAUACUAUGAUGUGUUCUAGGAGCGAACUGAGUUACCACCUGAAAGAUAUUGUGAUCAUGUUAUCAACCUAAUCCCUGCUGCUCAACCUUUCAAUCUAAGGCCAUACAUAUAUUCUCAUGAUAAAAAAAAUGCUAUUGAAUCUGUUAUCAAUGCCAUGUUGGAAGCUGAGACCUUGGUUCCCAAUUAGUUUUCAUUUGCCUCACCUGCUUUGCUAGUAAAAAAGAUGGACUCCACUUGGAGACUGUGUUGACUAUAGGAGAUUGAAUAAUUUAACUAUAAAUAAUAAAUAUCCUAUCCCCAUGAUUGAUGAUUUAUUGGACGUGCUAUAUGAAGCUACUGUGUUUUCCAAGAUAGAUCUUAGAGCUGGUUACCACCAGGUGAGAAUGAAGGCUGGAGAGGAGUACAAGACAACAUUUAGAACUCAUCAUGGGUUGUGGCAAUUCAGGGUCAUGCCCAUUGGAUUAACUAAUGCCCCAGCCACUUUCCAAUCAUCAAUGAAUUCUCUAUUCAAGAAACAAAUGAGGAAGUACAUACUAGUAUUUUUUGAUGAUAUACUAAUGUACAGUAACAGUAUAAAAGAACACUUUGAGCAUCUAGAAAGGGUACUUCAACUGCUAAGAAAGAACCAGCUAUUUGCAAAAGAAAGCAAGUGUGAAUUUGGCCAAUCAUAGGUGGAAUACUUAAGGCAUGUCAUCUCAGGCAAAGGGGUAAGCACUGAUCAUAAAAAGGUAUCAGCUAUGCUAGAAUGGCCACAACCAAGUUAUGUAAAAGAGUUAAGAGGUUUCCCAGGGCUGACUGGUUAUUACAGGAAGUUUAUCAAGAAUUAUGCUCAUCUAAGUAAGCCCCUAACUAAUUUACUAAGGAAAGAGAGUUUCAACUGGAAUGAGGAAGCUACUGUAGCCUUCCAGAACCUCAAACAAGCUAUGAUAGUUGCUCCACUUCUAGCUUUACCUUAUUUCAGUAGACCUUUUGUUCUGGAGGUGGAUGCUUGCAACACUGGGGUGAGAGCAGUAUUAAGGCAGGACAGAAGGCCUCUGGCAUUCCUAAGUCAGUCUUUAAGCAAGAGACACCAAGGAUUAUCUACCUCCGAGAAGGAGCUGAUAGCUCUACUUAUAGCAGUAGACAAAUGAAGACAUUACUUGCACCCACAUCACUUUAUAAUCAAAACAGAUCAUUUCAGUAUGAAAUUUUUGCAGGAACAAAUGAUCACAACAUCCUUGCAGCAUAAAGGCUUAACCAAGCUAAUGGGUUUAAACUUUGAAAUCCAGUACAAGAAAGGGGUGGAGAAUAUUAUGGCAGAUGCAAAGUCAAGGAUAAAUGAGCAGCCAUUUGAAGCUGAUCUGCCAGACUGUCUACUGAUAACUUAUUUGCAGCCUAAAUGGUUUGAUGAAGUGAUGUCAAGUUAUGAAUCAGACUAGGAGGUGAUGCAGGUUAUAACAUUACUCAGCAGCAACCCUUCUACAUUGGUGGAUGACACCCUACAAUAAGGUAUCUUAAAAUAUAAAGGGAAAGUCUGGGGUGGUAAACAUGGAACUCUAAGACAGCAACUGAUCUCAACCAUCAACUCUUGGUUAAGUGGUCAUUCAGGAGUAACAACAACAUAUCAAAAGCUAAAAGCAAUUUUCUAUUGGCCUGCUAUGAUAGAAGAUGUGAAAAAGAUAAUUCAAGAGUGUGAAGCCUGUCAAAGUUGCAAAGAUGAUUAGGUGGCUUACCCAGGAUUAUUACAACCUCUGCCGGUACCUGAGAAGGCUUGGGAGCACAUAUAAAUGGAUUUUAUUGAGAAUUUGCCAAAGUUAGAAGGACAAGACACUAUCUUGGUAGUGAGAUGGAUACAGUAAAUAUGCACACUUCAUUGCAUUGUCUCAUCCUUUCACUACCUCACAGAUUACCAGAGUGUUUAUGGAUACAAUUUAUAAGUUGCAUAAUUUACCUAAUAGCAUUGUAUCUGACAGGGAUAAAGUCUUCCUCGGUAACUUUUGGAGGAAACUUUUUAAGAACUUACAGGUACAGUUACGCUUUAGCUCAGCCUAUCAUCCACAAACACAUGGACAGACUGAGAGAGUGAAUAGAUGCUUGGAGAAUUAGCUGAGAUGCAUGAUAGGGCAUAAACCUAAAGAGUGGAAUAAAUGACUCUCAUUGGCUGAGUUUUGGUAUAAUAAUAAUUACCACUCUGCCUUAAAGAUAACUCCUUUCAAGGUUUUGUAUGGAUAUGAACCACCACAACUCUUUUUAAAGUUGAUUUCACAAACUAAAGUGGCUGCUAUAGAUCAAGUCUUGAAGGAAAUACAAAUUAUGGCUAAGGUACUAAAAAAGAAUUUGUAUAAGGCUCAAAACAGAAUGAAUGUGAAUGCUGACAAGAAGAGGACAGAAAGAGAGUUAAUGUUGGUGACUGGGUAUUUCUGAAACUGCAACCCUAUAGACAGACCUUUGUAGUUGUGAGAAAGAGUUUGAAGCUGGCUUUUACGUUUUAUGGUCCUUACCAGAUAGUGCAGAAGAUUGGAGCUUUUGCAUAUAAGCUCAACUUGUCUCCCACUUCCAAGAUACAUCCUAUUUUUCAUAAGAAGAGGAUUGGACAGCAAGUCAUUCCAUCUAUUGAUCCUCCAAUUCGCUCUUCUGAUGGACAACCUCUUAUAGAACCAAUUGUUGUGGCUUGAGAGGAGGAUGGUGAAGAAAGGGAACAAAGCAUCUAUUCAGAUUUUGGUGCAAUGGGCUAACUUGCUACCGGAAGAAGCCACAUGGGAGGAUUACAACUUCAUAGUAUCUCAGUUUCCAGAUUUUAAAAAACCUUGAGGACAAGGUUCUGAAGGGAGAUGAAAUGUUACGAGUAGAGAUUAUUUGAAUUAGCAGAGUCAUUAGUAGUUGUUAGUUAAGUCUUUAUUAUGUUUAUUUGAGUCCUUUAGUUUAUAAUUUAUGUUCAAUAAAGUUCAUAAUUCUGUUAGUGAAACUGGACAGGUGUCAAGCUAUUAGGAAGAGUCCAGAAUCCAAUGUUGGAUUCCGAUAAUUAAAUCAAAAUUUCCUUUC